AUAUUGGAUCGGCUGUGUGUCAAGCAUCUGAGGUUCUAACCAUAGCUCCAUUACUACCAGUCCGUGUGACUUGGGGAAUGCUGCUUACCUUCUUUGAGACCCAGUUUCUUCAUUACAAGAUAAAGAGCUUGCUAGGCAGCACUGAGAAGUGAAGGAAUAUUUGGGAGGAUCAGAAGCUUGGUCCUGAUUUUGCCAUCAACAGGAACUUGAUGACUUCAAGGGAGUCCCCAAACCCUGGGUUUCUGUUUUCUCAACUCUAACAUGAGGGGCUAGAUGCAUCUGGUUUAGUUAGUCUCCAUGAUGGUUUAGUUCGUCUCCAUGAUCCUGUGAAUUUCAGAUGUUGAAAAUCUUCGGAAAAGCCCUGAAAGAUGAACAGUGGUCUCAAAUAGUCAAGACCCCCUGCUGGGAGGAGCUUCUAUCCUGCUCUGUGGAAGAAAUGGGCAUGCCAGAUGCC
rnacentral:lncRNA from 1 species